GCCGCGUGCCCUCAAGGUGUUUCCCGCCGCUCGGCGUCGCGUGCCGCUGUUCUCCUCAGGCUCCGCGCCCCGCUGCCGAGAUCCGGCGCCUCUCCCGGCAGCUCCUCGCCUUUGCGAGGCUCCCGUCGCUCCUUCCUGGUUCCGCGUGCCUCUUCCUUAUCCCUCUGCUGCUCCGAGGCCGGGCGGCCUGGGGCUCCUACGGCUUCGCUAAGGGAAAGGCUGCGGGCUGAGGCCGUGCUGAGGUCGCCUACCCUCCUUGUCCCCGCCUCAGCACGGCCCGCAGGACGCUAGCUGGGCUUCAGCCAGCAGCAGAGCGCGCAGAAAUCUGCGAUGCCGGCUAACUAUGGCAGUGUGAGGUACUGCAUUUCAGCUUUAACGGUUCCAACGUGAGGCAGACACCUGGGCUCUGAGACUUCCUGCAAGGUUUUGUUUUUUAUUAUAAAAUUCUGUCGGCAUUUGAAAGAGCGAUUUGAGCGAGUGCUGAGCACGGGGCUCGCUGUGAGCACUGCUGUCCCAUCCCGUCCUCCGCACCCCGAGUCCCUUCUGAGCUGUUUCCUGUACCCUACUUCAUCUCUGUGCUCUGUGCAGGACCCUCCUUGUCCCAUCUAAACUUUCCGGUGAUGCUAUCUGUGGAAAAUGAUAAAAACAGAUAUCUUUUUAGUCUGCCGGUUUGGGUUUGGUUUGGUUUUAUUUUUAAAUGCUCCUUUGACAAAGGCCUCUGCCUGCGGUAAUGCGCUCUGCAGAGUGUCUGGCAGUGUGGAGAUGAGUGCUGCCCCCUGAUCUUAGCAUGUUUGUACCAGAUUGUGUUUCUAUUACAUGCGCUGCUGUUGCAGUGGGAUUUCACAGCUUCUGCUAAAUAUAAACAGUGUGCUCUACCGGGGCGGUGAGAGGCUGCCCUGAGUGCUGUCCUCCACCUUCCUGCCUCUGUGCUGACGUUGUUUCUCCUGCUGUUUGUACCUGGGACCCUUCGCCUUUUGCAUGAAAGACUUGAAGAGGGCAGUUCUGUUCUGAAUGCAUGGGCACUGCUCUUUAAAUCAGUCACAGUGCUGCCUGGGGAAGGUGAAUGGACGUGGGAGCACAGCAAAGUUCUGUGCAAAAAGUUUGUUACGUUGGGUGGCAAGUAUAAAUAUGAGUUUGGCAGCUCUUUCGAGAAUGUUUGCAUACUAAGACUAUAGAGAAGAAACAAAUACAGCGGGUAUAGCAUAGCGUGGCCAUGUUUUACAGUGCUCCACACUACAAUUAUCUUACCUGAUAUGGCUUAAUUUUCAACAGAAGUUGCUUUUGAAGGAAGGAAAGAAUUUCAUUUUUUUUCCCCAAACCUUAGACGUGCUAGUAUUCUAUGAUAUGUUGAUGUAUUUAAAAAUCUUCAUACCAGUGUUUUAUUUUGCUAAAGUAAAAGAUGUUGCCAUUAUCACAGAAAAGAUUCUUGAGGUUGGGGUUUGACAAAGACAAGAUGUAAAGUCGUAAGGAAAAUUUAGGAGACAUUCCUUGUCUUCCUAAAAAUGUAUCCACAUCUUGAAAGCAGCUUCAGCCACUUACAAGCACCUGUAGAAAAGUAACAGAAGUUUUCUGGACACCUACUUGUGCGACCUGGUGUAGGGAACCUGCUUUGGCAGGAGGGUUGGACUCGAUGAUCUCUGGAAGUCCCUUCCAACCUCUGUGAUUCUGUGAUUCCUAGAAUCUGAGGCUUAGAGACUUUCUUCCCCCUACUUGGAGGCAGCAUGCCACCUGCAUGACAGCUUCGGAAAGAUCACAGGGGCUGGCAAGGAAACAUGGCCAUGAAAGAUGUACAAGAUUUAUCUUAUCACCAGAGUGCAUCUGUCUUGGAGAGUACUAUAUCCUUGUUGUAAUCUCACAUCCUAAUCACAGGGACUGUGCUUUUGCUAGCUUUGUGCAGUAAAUGGAUAAGGAGAAUUUGCCAACCACACCUAUACCAAUUCUGGAAAAUAUUCAGUAUCACUGCCAAAAUAAAGCUCAGCCAAGGGCCGCCUGGGGCUAAGACCUGGUUCUGCUACAAGGAGUUCUUAGGCUGGAACCCAUGACAGGAGGAGAAUCACCAUUUCCCAGCACAGCUGAAGGAACUGAAGGCAGUUGGCAAAGCUCAGUACUGGGACUAUCAGCAAAGAACAAACAUUAAAAAAAAUGAAUUAGCAAACACCUUCUGUGUUUCUGACUAUUUAGUCUGGGAUUAAAGCAAUAACCUGUUUUGGAAUUCAGUGGCCAAACGUUAUAACAAACUUCCGGGUUUCUUCCGUAUCAAAUAGCAUGCAAGUUUAAUUUGAAAUGCCUGUGUUUUAUAUAGACAGUGUUUUAAAUGCAAGUAUAUAUUAAAAAAAUGCCAUAGUGUACAAAACUUCGUUCAGCUAUCCUUUUGCUAUGCAUUACUUCCAGAGAACAGCUGGAAAUCCCUUUGGAAGUUUGAUGUAAUUACAUCUGACUGUGAAUCUUUGACUGUUUUUAACACUCAGGUGACCUAAGUAGUAUUACACAGAAAAGUGUUUUAAUUUAAAGUAAUCAAGAAAGAGUAAUUAUCUCAAAUUAAGAUCUCAGUUUCUCUGAGAAAUUACUGCACAGAAAAGUCUUGUAUGCCUUCUUCUACAGCCAUAAUCUUUGUAUUUCAGCAUUUUAAAUACGGUAACAAUGGAAGCUCGGCUUAACUCAUCUUCUCUUGGCUCUGUGUUACUGCUCCUUCGCUGAGACAAUUGAUCUGACUCAGUUUUUGGUAUUUCUGUGUUAUUUUUUUCAGCUAAUUCAAGGGUGCUAGCAAUCCUUUGCUAGUAACUUUUCUUCAGUAUGAAUUUCUGUCAUAUUCACACAGCUAAUGUACAGGUGCCAGGGGUACAUUGCCAACUGCCCUUUAAAUUUGCAGGUACAAGGCACAUUUUUACUUCUAAAAAUUUUCCUUCAAAAUUGUUCAACCAACCGGUCUUUACAAAAAAUGUAAGGGAAGAUGGUGGGAAAUUCUACUCGCAAGUCAAGUGAAGUUCUCCUUUGCUCUCACAUUGUGCCAAGCAAGGUGAAUGAGGCCUAAAGCUCCCCAACCUACAAUGACUGCUCAGCUUCACAAAUAUCAGGCAUUGGAUGUAAUUUUGUCAAGUGUUGAAUUUAUGGUAUUGUAGUGCAGAUCUGUUUCAUUCUUUGUGUGCAGUUGGUGCCUAUUCCUUUGCUAUUUUCUCAGGGCUUCUGGAAACAAGAGCAGCUAACAGUAACACCUGGAUAGGUUGUGACCAGUUGUAUUGGUCUGGUUUGAAGCAGUCAUUUAGUUUUGUGGCCUUUAUAAAUUUGCCUGUAAUGUAGUCAUGUGUUUUGUGAUUUGCCUGUACACAAACACAGCCUCUCUCUGGAACCAACUCUUUGGGGGUAAAAUUGUGAUGCCUCAGAACAAUACCCUACAGCAGAAAUACAGCUAUUUGUGAAAAAGCUUGCAGAGGCUGUUUGUGAAGUUAUUAUAUUUGUGACAGUUGUAAAAAGCCAUUGAGCUGUGUUCAAUAAAAUGGGCUUCCACCAGAGCUGGGCACUUGCUGCCAUAAGCAAAGGAGCAGUAGAAAUGCACAAGCAGCAAAGUGAGGCUGGAACUAGUGGGCGGGAGGAGAUAAAGAUGGCAGGGCAGGGUCACUGACAGUGUGAUCCUGAGAAACAGGACAGAAGGAAGUCUGAAAGCUGAAAGACGGCAGGGUUUAUGGUGAAAUAAACCCUCUUAGAUUGUUUGGCUCCUUCUUUAGGUGUGGAAACAGGAUUCUACACUUUCUUAAUAGGUGAGAUGCACAAAUGUAUUCUCAACUUUUUCUUUUUGUAAAGUAUCCCACACACCAGCAAAUUUUCAUUGAUCUCUGGAAUCAAAAGAGACUAACAGUGUGAAUUGCACCAGUGUUCCUAUGGACCAGCCUUCUUACGCUCAGCAGUGUUGCUGGACAUCUAGGCAAGAAUAAGAUCUUUGCAAGCCCCCGGAUUCAGUCAGCCAUAAGCACACUGUGAACCUUUUUUCCUGACUACCAGAUUGAUGCUAUUUUUAAAAAAAAAACCCACAUACAGAUUAUUUUCAAAUGAAGACAUUUAAGUGUAGCAUUUCAUUAAAGAAAAAGUGACAACAUAUACUUUAGCUUUCUAUUUCAUCUUAAAUCACAUAACUAGAUUAUUGCAGUAUUCUUUAAACUCAGAAGUCCCUUUUCCAAAUGGCAGCGAAAAUAGCUUUUCUCGUGACUUCUAAGAAAGCUACCUUUUUUGCUCUUUUAUGUCAAUCCUUCCCAUGCACUGUCAUCAUUUUACCAAGGCAGUAGUCUCUUUUCUUUCUUUCUUUUCUGCUUUCUUCAGGGUUUUUUUCUGUAGGUUCCUUCACUAAGGGAAAAGUUCUCAGUCCUGCUGGGCAGGGAAUGACUCCUUGAGCAGUGUAAGCUUAGGGAGACAAAUGUAAGAUAAACCUGAGAAACUGAGGGACAAAUGCCUCAGACUUCAGUUUCUACCUGAGUCUGAGUAGCUGUUGAAGAUUUUUUUUUCAUUCUGUUCCAUAGUCUAUACUACAGGUAUUCAUGUUUGAUUAAAGCUGUUAAAUAAAAAAAAAAAAAAGAAGUUUACAUAGAAAAAAGAGGUACUUUGAAGGCUGGAGAAAAACACUUUGUAGUUGGUGUUCAUUAUGGCUGACUUUUCUUAAGAGACCUCGUUACGGAAUACGUGCUUCUGUGCAAGUAUUUAAACCUACUGCCAUACAAGGUGAUAUAAUGGGCUCUUGAGUCUGGAAAACAUGAAAUUAAAGGUAAUUGAAUCUGUUUUGUGAGCGUGGACCACCUUGUUUGAUUACUGACUAUGAGAUCAGUAUGGGAAGGCUUCCAGUGCAGUCUUUGCCUGGCGCCUGCUCCAGCCAGGUGUUCAGGUUAUUCCUGAAACUAAAGAACUGGAAACAGAAUACUGCUGAAUCAAGCCUAUUUGUGGCUGCUUUCGGCCCAAUGCUUUGGGUUUCUGGGAAAAAGGGCUGAAACAGGGAAUAACAAAAAUGCAUAGUAUUCUUUAAAUGCCUUUUUUCUCUGCUUCUGUUGGUUGAAAUUCCGCUUCAAAAGUUUUCCUGCUCCUUUAGAGGCAACAGCAGAUUAAACUCAUUUUUAAUAUGAAUUAGAAAAGAAAUGCAAAUGAAGAAAGAAUUGUUAUUCUCAUUAACUAGCUCCUGUGGUUCAGAGACCAAGAUAAAAGGGACAAAGACUAGAUGCUAUUAUUCAGAAGAUCCACAUAAGACUAAAGAUGCCUUGUGUUUGGGAGCAGCCUGACCAAGUGAUGCAGCUGCUGGAGGAGUGCUGUCAGAGCCACUCGACAGGAGGCUGUCCUGUUUGCCACUUUGGGUGCCAGUUUUCUGAAUUGACACCCUAGUACUGUUUACUUGUGAUGCUGUGGUUAGAAAAAGUAUUAAUAGUUGUGAAUAAUUACAGUGCAAAAUGGGCUUCUCAGUAAAGUCGGGGUGAAAUGUGAUGUUUGCAAAGGAUGUGACCUCUGUGUUCCAUUCCCUUUCUUCUUGAGGGCUCAGAGAGAGCUGAGAGAAGAAAGUGGAGACGUAGUCCUGGGGGGAGACACAAGCAGGACGACCGCUAUCCUUGGGGUACCUUACUUUUUAUUUAUAGGUUUGUGAAGCGGACAUCUCAUAUGGAAAAUUCUUAAUAGCUGUCUUCAGGCUGUUUGGAGUGUUCACCUGACCUGUGACAUUCUCAGCGGAGAAUUGAAAAUGCAAAUAUGCAUUAGGCAGGAGCUUUAGCCUGACUUGUUCUGAAGCUGAUGAUAUGAUGGGGACGCAAUGCCAGCCUAAAAUACUAAUGCUCAACAAAGUGAGCAUUAGCAACAGAAGAAAACUAUUUUUAAAUAGAAGAGUUUUGAGAGAGAAAUCUGGUGAAGCCGGCAAUCGCCAGUUUUGAACAACGUUACACAGACUUCCUUCCUGUUUGCUCCACCGAGGUGUCGCAGUGAGAUGUCCUCUUUUUUGUCUUUUGCCCUUAGUCUGCUCACCUCAGGCACUGCCGUGCUGGAGCAGCCACCUUCUUCUCACCCUCGAAUUCUGACACUGAUCAAUUCAUACGUGCUGUUUUCCUGAUUCCUUAUAAACCUGAUAUUUAUCAUUCUGAAAUCUAGUGAAGUGGCUGUAACAGUCUUGUAGCUGUGGAGGCAGAUGCAGCAAGGUUUAACGGAGGUAAUAUCCAGAAAUAUUGUUAAGAUACUUCAUAUUUACCUUUGAGACUCCUUUGCCUUCUGUUGCGUGUCAUCCCUUGCAUUUCAUCUAUACAUGCUAGAUUAGCUUUACUGCAGGAGUCUUCUUUUCCAUAAACAUUUCUCAUUCAAUUAAUCCUUCUUUAUAGAGGUAAUGGUAAAGUCUUGCAGGAUUUGAAGUGUGCAGCCAUGUUAGCUCCUCUAGUGAGCGCAGUUACGCCUCUUUCAUUUGAACGAACAUCUUCCUUUUCUCUAGGUCAGUUUUUCCAGUUUGUGGCAUUAUUAAGGCUGAUGAAAUGAGGGAGUUGGUAGCAUGCAACCUGGGGAAACAAAAAGCACAGCCUCACUACUGCUCUUGUUUGCCAUCAAGGCAAAGGCACUUUUCAUAACUCUUACUGUGACAAUCAGCUUUUUGUACGGUAUUAAAGCAAGAUAGUAGGACUACCUAUAAUGUUAAUGAAAAGAGAUAAACAGGAACACAAAAAUUCAUCAUGAGUACGAUGAGUAAAUGUAAGCUCUCUGGAUUUUGCAGUAGACGUCUUGCUUGCUGUUUAUUGUAACUGUUAUGUACAUACUUAUGGGAUUAGGCAAUUCACACUCAAUGUAAGAAAUGAUGGAUCUGAGCUGAAUUAAAGGCAUGAAUUCUUUUUCUUCUAUCUCAUGCAUCGUUAAAUAUUGCUAUUGUACUGUCUAAUGAUUAUCUAUAUUAUACCUGUCACCCGAUAGCAACCACGGUCGUUACGAUAAUGUCGAGAUUAUAAUUACAGUUCCUUCUGUGAUGCAGUCAUACUAUGCUUAAAAAUGUAUCCUUGAUAUGGUAGUAUCUCUUGCUUGGCCUUGGCCCAAACACAAAUGCAUUUUGAGAUUUUUGAGGGAGAAAUAAUCUAUUUCCAAGUUACUAACAUUCAAGUAACAUCAAUUACAUACUGAUAUGUCUAUAUUAAACAAACAAAAAAUAGCCAUUUAAACUACAUUUUUGCUUCAUUUGGGAUAAACAAAACUUGAAAAACUUCUUGUCCUUUGCUAAAUAGCUCCUUAUAUGUGUUUUGGAAUUUAAGAAUAUAAAAGACUGCAGCUGUUAGUCUGAGAUCAACAAAAUCACUUAAAAACUUGUUUGACAGCAUGUGUCAGAUAAGCCCAUAUCUUUUGUGACCUGAUCUGAUGCAGAAUGCCCCAAACAUUCGGCCUGGUCAUCUGAGGCAUCUCCUGUGGCAGGGGCUGGCAACCCCUGGCACCCAGAACUGACUGGGAAAGCAGAGGCAGGGGCUGAGCCCCGCGCUGUGGGAAUGCGGGCAGCAGGGGCUGGCAGGGGAAGCCUUGCUGUGGUGUAAGAGACCGGCUGUCACAGCACGAGCUGGUCGCCACAGGAAGAACUCGGGGAAUAAGUUGUAUGUCAUUGUCUGAUAGCUUCUUCAGAUUUUCUUGCUGUCAUUAGUCUGUUUUAGAUCUGUGAGACAACCGUUUAUUUAAUUCUAAAGAAAAACAAUCUUCUCUUAUAUUUCUACAAAUAUAUAAAACAGUUCUCUUCCCAAGUAUGAAGUGGUUUCGAAGAAGCUGUGUGGAGGAAUCUUUGUGAAUGCCACUCUGAGUGCAAAAGCAAAAUAAAGCAGCAGUUCAAAAUAAAAACCCACUGCAUGUGAAACAGAGGAUCUUGUAACCAUUUUCUAACAUCAAACACUAUAAAUAUUAUGCUAAGCUACUGAGUAAAAUAGCUGAUAAUCUGUUAAUUGUAUCUGUAACUUGAAAAUAAUUAUGGUCACCACAGUCAGGAUAGAAUGGCAUGUACAGUUUUUAGUAUUUUAAUAACAUAUCCACAUAAUUUUUUUUUUUUUGCUUCCUGUUCUCAUCUGUGGCACAGUACUAUAUUGAGAUCUGACUUUCCAUUGAUUUUAAAACAAAGAAUGUUGAUACAUUGUUUCAAUGCACUUUUGCUAAUAUUUUACAUCAGUGUUUGAUUUCAAGCAUGAAUCUAUGUAGCUGUUUAUAUGCCAGCCAUUCCUAGGGUGAUGUAGAUCCCUAUUGUGCAAAUACUUUUUUCAUACACUAUUGCCAAGAGUUUUGAUUAUAACCUUUGGUGCGAGAUUGUCUGUAGGUGUUCAGGAAAGGUUUCUGCUGCUGAUGGAUGCUGUCAGCAGUGAGGACUGCUCGCUAUGUAUUUUGGGAUCCAGACAGCUGUUUGCCUGUGGCCCAGUGUGUCAGCCAGCACAAAAGAGAGAAGCUGCUUGUUCUCCCAUGUACAAGCCAGUUGCAAGAUUCCACAGCUGCUGCAUCCCUUUAAAAUGUGCUAAUUUAUGCCUUUUUUACAUGCUGAGUAGCACAUUUAUUCUCAUAUCUUCAGAGGCACUUAUAUGAAAGAGUACACAGGACAGUGGAAUUUCAAUUAGUUUGCUCAUUAUAUAGGGCUUAAGGCCCGGGUUGUUACUAAUUGUUUAAUAAGUUUGGUGGAUUUCAUGGGAAUUUUUAAAUCUCACUCUGAAGUGAGAACUGAAAGUGUCACUGCUUACCAUUGCUGAAUGUCAGAGCAGUUCAUGUAAUGAUGCUAGUUUUGACGAGUGGAACUGUGCUUAUGAGCAGGAAAUAUCCAUCCUAGCAGUGAAGAACACAUCAGUGAAUCGGGAAAAAAGAUCUAGAACUCUAGGAUGGCUCUCAUGUAUUCCCAGCUCAUCAGAAGCUGCCAAGGGUACAAGCCAGACCCAGAAGAACUUUAUUUGCUGUUCUGCUUUCUUACGAGCUUGUGCCUUUGCUAAGGGAUCUGGAUUUAUUGCUGUGUGCUUGAUAGAGUUACAGAAUCGUUGUUACAUCCUGUGCAUCUUGCAGAGACAAAAGAAACACAGGCAGCAUUGAGUGGGUCUCGGGUCCAGGUGAAUACAGAGAAAUCCAUUUCCCCAAAUGGGUUCCUAUUUUCACACAGCUUGUAACAAGGAGUUACGGUAGAUUAUUUCAUGCCUGCUUUGCAAUUCUUGUUAAAGUCUUUGUUUCUAAUGGAAGAGGUACAAAUUCCCCCCCACUCCCCUCCCCAUUUGAGCAGAAAGAGUUUAUUUUAUUUUUUCCCUUCUUGGCACACCAGGGGACCUUCCAAACCUUUCAAAUAUUGCUCCUUUGAGAUCAUAGAUUGUUCUUUAAGAAACAACUGCUUUCAGCGAUGUGAAAGGAUUUAGUCAUGUUGCUCUUGAUGUCCUGCUGAGUUUGUAUUAGUAUUGGUAUGGGGCCAGAGCUUCAACAAAGGUGUGGGUCUUUUGCCUAAGCAUUAGUAUGGAUUUUGAUUUUCAACUUUGGAGGAAAGGAGUAAGAUGUGUUCCAAAGCAAAACAUACUUUGUCUCCCAUUUAAGAAUGCAUUAUCAGAGGAAUUUCUUGAGGAGCUCAGUGAGUAAGUCUUCCCCCUUCUUCAGCCGUAUGCCUACAUAAAGAAUCAAGGCUAUCUUAAAAGUUACGUUAACAAUGGCUCCCUGGCACGUCAAAUGAUUGUGCUCAGCACAGAUACUGAGGUCAGGAAAAGAGAAGCUAGAUGGCGCUAUGGUCCUGAGAUCGUGUGCUGCUGUGGGGGGAGCAAGACGAACCCACGCAGAUUUUCUGGUCUAAAAACCAGAUAUCGUCAAAUACAGGGACAGAAUUCCUAAAUUGGAAGAACAUGAUUUCCACUGAGGCAAUUAUUUAGCUUUUGGUUUUUAACAUAGGCAACAAGUUGAAUUGUUUAGGAAACAGACUUAAGUUUAAGCUGUGGACAUGAAAGAGAAGAUUACAGGUGUAGAAUGGCUUUGAAAUUACCUACACAGGUAAAACUGUUAGAAAUACGUUGUGCACCAUUCUCAUGACAUUACUUAUGCUUAUUUAUUUUAAGCAAAUGCUUCUGCUCAAAGAUGCAAGUAGGUAUGAAAGUAGUUAAACUAUGCACCACAUCGUGCAGUUAAAGGAAAGACAUCUGAUGUGGCCUGGGAAAUUGAAGGGGAAAAAAUUAAAUCCAGAUCCACUUAUAAAAGUUUUCUUUGAAUUUUUAAGAAUGGAGAUAGAGAGAUCUCCUUUGCUAAUUAUAAAUGUACAGUAAAUAUCUAGAGUAGUUACUGCAAGACAAUCAUGAAUUUAUCUUUAGAUACAUAUAUUUUCAUUUUCAUUUGUUGAUUUUCUUUUUCACUAUUUAUAGAACAAUUUUUAAAAUUAAGUUGUAGUCAUUUUUAGUUAGCAAAUGCACAUCGUUCCUCCAUUUGUAUUUUUGGCAGUCAGACAAGAAUAUAUUAAUAAUUUUUUGUUAAAAUUGUAAGGCCAAGCAGAGCUUUUACUUUUUACCUCUGACUAGUAUUUAGGAGUACAGUUGGGCAGUAAGAAUGCCAAAGUUAUUACAAAAAGCAAAACACUUAAACAAAAAUAUCCCCAAGUUCUGGAAAUCUGAGGAGGUCUGAUUUAAUACUGAGCUUAGAGGGAGUCUCAGCAGUUGAAAAUAAAUAACAUCCAGGCAGCCAGAUAACUUUGAGUUUGUAGUGAAGCCGGCCUCCAGGCUUUGUCAACACUAUUAUUUGGAUCAGCAGUGAGGGGGCCAGCACUGAGACAUUUCUGUGUUUGAACUGAGUUCUUCCGCUAUAGGAAAAGGUUGUGGGUUUUGUUGUUCUUGUUUUGUUUUUGUUAGGGUUUUUUUUUUGUUUGUUUGCUUGCUUGUUUUUUGUUUUGCCUUUUUUUUUUUAAAGGAGUUAAUGUUUUAGAGGUAAGGUACUGUUAGACAAACAUGCACCUGUAACAACACAUGCAAUAAAUGGCUGAUGUAGUAUUUUAUCAUGGCAGAAGGUAGCCAUGGGAUAUUGUACUGUUCCUUCAGUGAUAGUAAAGGUGUGGAAAGCUACAUAACAGAUUUGAAAGUGCCAGAAAUGCUUUGAAGUUAGUCAGUGGUAGGGAGGCCCUUGAGGAACUUCAAGGGAGCCUAUAAAAAGGACUAGGAAGGUGAAAUGAAAGGCUUAAGAGAAUGACAGAAUUUUAAUCCUUACACAAUUGUAAGAUUUUGUACAAAUAAUACCAAGGACUAACAGCUUGAAGAGCUGAGGAAUAAAACCGAAGACAACAAAAUGGAGUUGGAAGGAACAAAAGAACAAAUCACCCUUUGAGUGAAACUGAGGUGGUGGAUGUAACCGAGAUGAAUGCUGGGAGGCCUCAGGAAUUUCAUAAGAGAUGCUUUAAGGGAGGCUUAACAGGAGAGAAUCAUCUGUAAACAGAAGGUGUAGUGUAAGAAAUGGGUUAGUUUGUAGAAAGCCUCCAGAGAAGCAGAUCCAUAUUAAUUGGCUGUGAGUUUGUAAGUUUGAAGAACCAAGCUAUUAGAGAAACUGUAUUCUUGAAUAGCUUUCCCUUGGGCUAGCAGAGAGCAAAAGUCAAUUGCUUCAAGUGUGGUGCUUUGCUUUAAAACAAACAAACAAAUAAAUAAAGUGAAAUGAAUUCCAGAAGAACCAUUUGUGAGAUCUUCCUCCCAUUUCAAAAUCCAGUGAAUUUAUCAGUGCCUACUCUAUUGUGUAUUUGAUGAUUCAGUUCAUUUUAGCCCCUAUGCUUAUUGUUAGUGUACUAAGAGGUCAUAUUAAAGUUUUAGGAGGAAACUGAUGCCUUCUGAAAUGGCUAACUGGAUUUAGGAAGAAAAUUCAGAAUAGAUUAUAACAGAUUACACAAAAUCUUUUCCUUCUGCCAACAACAUGUGAAAAACACCAGUUCCUGUGAGUGCCUUCUUGAAACCCCACAGGCUUCCUGCUUUGCCCAGUGUUUGCACUGAACUGCCAUCAAUUGCACAGGCAGAUGAGCAUCCUCCCGUGAGUGGUAUCAUUCCUCCAAUGUUCCUCCAAUUAAAUAUAAUUCCUCCAAUUAACACUUGGCAGAUCGUGAGUCUUGUCCUUAUUUAAAUACUGCUAGUUUGUUAAAGACCAUUAUUGAUUUUUUUUUAUUUCUUUUUAAUCCUAUGGGAAUCACACAUUUUCUUUCAUGGAGACUGUACUGUGCAAUGCCUUUUGAGAACUGACUUCGGGUUCCAACCUUCAAAAGCACUAAGGAAUGCAAUAGUGCUAGUACAUAUAUAACUGUAAGUUUUAUGCUGUGCUGACUCAGCAACAAGAAGGGCCAUCUGCAGGGUACAGUCUGACCUAACAGUGCUUCUCUUCUUUUCUUUUUCUGUCAUUCAAAUGCUUUCCUCCAAGAACUCAAGGAAACUCAGAGUUUUUUCUUUUUUUUCUGGUGUAUCAAAUUGUUUUAAAGUAGUGCUGACGUUGGCUGAACCUUCUGCAGGUUCAGUCUCUAAUGGAUCAACUGAAUGGAAGCCCCAAAGUUCUCUAAUGCCUACUGUAAGUCAAGGGUCAUGUUGUAUAUGGAGCAAAAUACAUGCAUGGUGACAGGAAGCAGACUCUUCCCUAUGUUUUAAAUAGACAAUAGAGGUCCAAUGUCUAGUUAUUGGUGAUAGGAAAGUCUCCUUGUUCUGGUUUCUGUUUCCUGUAACACUGUAUAUAGUACAUCUCCUUCAUGUUUGUUGGUAUUAUUUAUAUUUAAUAAACGUGUCAUGCAGCAAAUUCUUAAAAAUAACUGUCAACUUUGUAUUUGUUUUUGAGAAACUGCUGAUGCUAAACAAAGUACUAAUUUUGGAUUGCAGCAACUACCCUAAAAUGUAUGCUCAGCAAGAAGUGUUUUUUUUAAUUUAGUGUUAUAGGUGAACAGAAUAAAACAAGAACGGAUAAAUUCAAUGCAUUUUAAAUCUGUGAGAAUGCAAAAAAAGUUCUAAAAAUUGCUAUGCUUUUAAAUUGCUUACUUUGCAUUGAAAGCUUCUCAUUUUAGCUCCCUAUCCUUGCACAAAUUUAUCCUCAAGAUUGUUUGUCAAAGCAGCAUAUGGUAAGGGGAAACAGCAACAUAUUUAUAAAAUACAAAUAGUAGGAUGGUUAAAUUUUGAAUGCUGCCUAUUUGGAGGAAAUCCAAACAGGACCUGUGAAACAGAAGUGUGGCUUUGUGAGCCUACUUGCAUAAAGACCAAGAGAGUACAUGAAAAUGCUAAUGUUUCAAAAGGGUGUUAAUUGUUGUGAAUUUGAGCAAUUAUUAAUUAUGAAAAUACUGUGAUAGUAGGAAUGUGUUAUAAAUAUGUAACAUUGUAGUAGAUGGGGUGUUGGACAGGCUCCUUAGUUGGAGUAGCAUUCUUCUCCCUACUGGUUCUGAGCACUGGUUAUUGUAAAUGCAACUAUAUUGCAGUAGCAACUUUUAAAAAUCACUUUUCUGUUUAAAAACCUCUUAAUGUUAAUUUUUUUGUUUAGCAUUCCUGGGAUAUGCCAAAUUGUGUUGCAUUAUAUUUUUAUUUUAUUUAUUUUCAUUCAAUACUCUGUGAAUAUUUGAUAUAUUUUUAUUUCCUUUGAAAAUUAGAGGUUCCCAAUGGUACUCAAUAUUUCCAUGGGUACUUUAACACAAUUGCAGUCAUUCAGCUAUGCCUUGUCUUCCAGGCUACUUCUGAAGAGAGCCAGGCUGCAGAGAAGAAUAAGAGCUGAAAACUAUUUUUCUUCUUGCCUUGGUUUUGGAUGCAGUCUUUGAGUCUACUACUGCAAUUGUAGAUCAAGAGACACUUUGUGGAAAGUCACACGUCUUUCUUUUCAUCUUCCAUUGAAACUUAAUUUUGCUGGCUGUAGUAAUAUUUUAUAUGUUAGUGUCUCCAGUCUGUCUGCCCAAGCAUCUCUUUUCUUUACAGCUCUGAAAUCAGCCACAGCUUCCUCAACUAUCUGGAAGAUACCUUCCUAUGAGCAGCAGCCUUCCUUCCAGGGCCUGCUGUGCAGGGAAGAGCAAAGUUCAGCUUGUUACUCACUUGUGUUUCACACUCUUUUUCUGUUUUCUCCUCAAGUAUAAGCUCUUAGUAGUUUCAUGCUCUAAACUACAGUAUUUCUUUUAUGAGUCGGAGCAUCUACAAACAGCUUUACUCCAACACAAGUGAGACCUAAGGAAAAAAGAAGAGAAUGUUCUAUCAUCAGUAGAACAAGCUGGAGAAUGAGCCUCACCUCCGCGUGUCUGCUCUGCUGUCUGCAGCGUUUGGUUGAUGGGGCAUUUCCAACAAGAUUACUGAAAGAAAGAAUAGUAGGAAAUCUUAAUCAACUUAAUUAUACUAUUUUUGUGCUAAUGAAGUAGCUGGAAUGACAGGAGGAACUCAGCAGGAAGAGAACAAUAGCAUGUUUACGCAAUACUGAAGUUUGGGAUGCUACGCAGUGGAAAUGAGCAGGCAGGUCUUUUGUUCUGGUAAGUUCAUAUCAGCUUCUGAUCUGGUGUGUAUGCAAUGGUCAGUUUGCAUAGAAUUCACAGCUUAAUUUCAGUGAUUGAAAGGGUUUAUAAACAUGGCAUAGUGGGUGUAAUAAGAUGAAUUUCAUGAAGGCAGGCCUUCUAGUAUUUAGUAUCAAUUGUUGAAGCCUUGAAA